UAGAAUUUGAAGCUGCAAUUUCAAGAAAUAUUUGUCAAAUCCAGAGUUAGCUGCUUAAUCUUUGUCAUGAUGUCAGUGCUUUUUCACUAAACAGUAAAUUGUGGUGAGUUAGGACCCAAAUUACAAAAAGGAAUCCUGUUAGAAACAUUGCCUAAUUGAACUGUUUCCCAAUUUGACAAUUUGCAAGACAGAUGUUUAAUGCAAAGGGAAACCAGCAUGGGGG